UACGAAGGGGGCUAGCGUUGCUCGGAAUUACUGGGCGUAAAGCGCCCGUAGGCGGAUCUUUAAGUCAGGGGUGAAAUCCUGGAGCUCAACUCCAGAACUGCCUUUGAUACUGAGGACCUUGAGUUCGGGAGAGGUGAGUGGAACUGCGAGUGUAGAGGUGAAAUUCGUAGAUAUUCGCAAGAACACCGGUGGCGAAGGCGGGUCUCUGGGCCGAUACUGACGCUGAGGAGCGAAAGCGUGGGGAGCGAACAGG
rnacentral:rRNA from 1 species